AGUAGAAUAGCUAGGUCAAAUGGUGAUUUCAUUCCAGGCUUUCUGAGGAAUUUCUGUACUGCUUUCCAGAGUGGUUGCACAAUUUGCAGUCCCACCAGCAAA
rnacentral:pre_miRNA from 1 species